rnacentral:lncRNA from 1 species
GGAUGUCUAUGCUUGGCUUGAAGGCUUCUUAUGGUUUAUGAAACCUUUUUCUUAAAGGAAGGUCAUGUAUACCCCAUGACACAAAACUAAAAAUACGGUCCUAAGAGAUAUUUAUAGGAGUAGCUUUUUCGGUAUAUCACGAUUCAAUCAAGAUGGCCAGGGGCUUUAAGAAAAUUAUCAAUGAUUAUGAACAAAUUUAGAUACUACAAAGAUU